rnacentral:rRNA from 1 species
GAUGAACGCUGGCGGCGUGCUUAACACAUGCAAGUCGAACGGAAAGGCCAGUGCUUGCACUGGUACUCGAGUGGCGAACGGGUGAGUAACACGUGGGUGAUCUGCCCUGCACUUCGGGAUAAGCCUGGGAAACUGGGUCUAAUACCGGAUAGGACAAUGGUUUGGAUGCCGUUGUGGAAAGUUUUUUCGGUGUGGGAUGAGCUCGCGGCCUAUCAGCUUGUUGGUGGGGUAAUGGCCUACCAAGGCGUCGACGGGUAGCCGGCCUGAGAGGGUGUACGGCCACAUUGGGACUGAGAUACGGCCCAGACUCCUACGGGAGGCAGCAAUGGGGAAUAUUGCACAAUGGGCGUAAGCCUGAUGCAGCGACGCCGCGUGGGGGAUGACGGGCUUCGGGUUGUAAACUCCUUUCGCUAGGGACGAAGCGUAUUUGUGACGGUACCUGGAGAAGAAGCACCGGCUAACUACGUG